CUGAAUGUCAAACCAACAAAGCUACUAGCCUAUGGCAUUGGCAAACAAGUGUUGAUGAGGGAGGGAGGCCUUACAUGGCGAUGAAGAGCCUUAUCUCCCUUAGCCAAGAAUGACUUGCCUAUCUCUACUAUUUGGUCCAUCUGGGAGCCUUCAUAUGAUGGAUGAAAGGUGGAUGAUGGCAAGCAUUCUGGUUAAGCGAGUGAUUCUCUUCCACCAUGCUAGGCUAACCCUCUUUCUAAUCCUCCGUCUGCACAUCAAAAAGACCUUCUCAUCAGAACCAGCACUUCCAACAACAUAGCAGCCAGUGAGCUUAGCAAGCUGCUCAACAAUUUGACCAACGGCGCCUGCUGCCGCUGAAUUGAAGACAGUCUCCUUUCUUAGCCUUGGCCACAACAUAAAGUCCUACGUAAGCAGUAAGGCUGGCAUACCUGAAUGAUGGUUGUGGUUGUAGCAUACAGUUAGGGGGAAAAACAACUUUGCAUUCUGUAACACUUGAGGAUUUUGAAUGAGGUUCGUUGUCUUCCCGGCCGGGGAAACAGAUUAUAGCGUCUAUUUGGAUCAUUGGAGAAGCUUCUGAAUGAUUAAAGAUGACAUUCUGCUGGCGAUGCGCAAGAGUGAGAACUGAAAAUCAGCUCAUCAAGAACACCUGUAUAGUAAGAGAGGGGCAUUUCGGAGUGUUUGAUCUUUAAAAGAGACUCUGGUUUAGUGAUGAUGCAAGUGAGUUCCUCCCAUCCGGUUCUUCCCCACACGAGAUCGCCUACCUUGAAAUCCGGCCGGAUGCUACCACCUUGCUCACACCAUAACCAGCUAGAACCUGAUUUUUUUUUGGUCGAGUGAGACAACAAGAUUAUUCUAAGGUUUCAUUUUGUAAAAAAAAAUGUUGAACGGAAGAAGACAGCUUUGAAGCUGAACAGUGCACAAUUCUUCUCCAGAACAAUUACGUGUCGAAUGUAUCUUCGAGCAAUGUAUAAUAAUGUUUGGUGAAAUGGGAAACCAUCUGUCCAUGCCUAUGGCAUGGUACGGCA